rnacentral:rRNA from 1 species
UACGUAGGGUGCGAGCGUUGUCCGGAAUUACUGGGCGUAAAGAGCUCGUAGGUGGUUUGUCGCGUUGUUCGUGAAAACUCACAGCUUAACUGUGGGCGUGCGGGCGAUACGGGCAGACUGGAGUACUGCAGGGGAGACUGGAAUUCCUGGUGUAGCGGUGAAAUGCGUAGAUAUCAGGAGGAACACCGGCGGUGUAGACGGCUCUCUGGACCGUAACUGACGCUGAGACACGAAAGCGUGGGGAGCAAACAGG